rnacentral:rRNA from 1 species
CAUAGAACUGCUUCCAAAACUGUUUAGCUAGAGUCUGGGAGGGGAAGAUGGAAUUAGUUAGUGUAGGGGUAAAAUCCGUAGAGAUUACUAGGAAUACCAAAAGCGAAGGCGAUCUUCUGGAACAGUACUGACGCUGAGGCGCGAAAGCGUGGGGAGCAAACAGGAUUAGAUACCCUGGUAGUCCACGCCCUAAACGAUGAAUGUUAGUCGUCGGGACUCUAGUAGUUUCGGUGAUGCAGUUAACACAUUAAACAUUCCGCCUGGGGGGUACGGUCGCAAGAUUAAAUCUCAAAGGAAUAGACGGGGACCCGCACAAGUGGUGGAGCAUGUGGUUUAAUUCGAAGAUACGCGAAGAACCUUACCUAGCCUUGACAUAUUUUAGAACUCCGCAGAGAUGUAGAGGUGCCUUCGGGAGCUAAUAUACAGGUGCUGCACGGCUGUCGUCAGCUCGUGUCGUGAGAUGUUGGGUUAAGUCCCGCAACGAGCGCAACCCUCGUUCUUAGUUACUAACGGUUCGGCCAAGGACUCUAAGAAGACUGCCUUCGUAAGGAGGAGGAAGGUGAGGACGACGUCAAGUCAUCAUGGCCCUUACGGCUAGGGCAACACACGUGCUACAAUGGUUAGGACAAUGAGACGCAAUACCGCGAGGUGGAGCAAAUCUAUAAACCUAAUCUCAGUUCGGAUUGUAGUCUGCAACUCGACUACAUGAAGCUGGAAUCACUAGUAAUCGUAGAUCAGCUAUGGUACGGUGAAUACGUUCCCGGGUC